GACGAACGCUGGCGGCGUGCCUAAUACAUGCAAGUCGAACGCUGAAGGAGGAGCUUGCUCUUCUGGAUGAGUUGCGAACGGGUGAGUAACGCGUAGGUAACCUGCCUGGUAGCGGGGGAUAACUAUUGGAAACGAUAGCUAAUACCGCAUAAGAGUAGAUGUUGCAUGACAUUUGCUUAAAAGGUGCAAUUGCAUCACUACCAGAUGGACCUGCGUUGUAUUAGCUAGUUGGUGGGGUAACGGCUCACCAAGGCGACGAUACAUAGCCGACCUGAGAGGGUGAUCGGCCACACUGGGACUGAGACACGGCCCAGACGCCUACGGGAGGCAGCAGGAGGGAAUCUUCGGCAAUGGACGGAAGUCUGACCGAGCAACGCCGCGUGAGUGAAGAAGGUUUUCGGAUCGUAAAGCUCGGUUGUAAGAGAAGAACGAGUGUGAGAGUGGAAAGUUCACACUGUAACGGUAUCUGACCAGAAAGGGACGGCUAACUACGUG
rnacentral:rRNA from 1 species